rnacentral:rRNA from 1 species
GAUGAACGCUGGCGGCGUGCUUAAUACAUGCAAGUCGAACGAAGGUUGUAGCAAUACAUCCUUAGUGGCGAACGGGUGAGUAACGCGUUGGUGACCUCGCCCCGAAGUGCGGGAAUAACAGUCCGAAAGGAUUGCUAAUACCGCAUGGUUCAUUUGGAUUAGAUGCCAGAUGAGACAAGGCGAAAGUCGCUUCGGGAGGGGCUUGCGUCCCAUCAGCUAGUUGGUAGGGUAAUGGCCUACCAAGGGCAAUGACGGGUAGGGGACCUGAGAGGGUGGCCCCCCACAAUGGAACUGAAACACGGUCCAUACACCUACGGGUGGCAGCAGUAGGGAAUAUUGGUUAAUGUGCGAAAGCGCGAACCAGCAACGCCGCGUGCACGAUGAAGGCCUUCGGGUUGUAAAGUGCUUUUUGAGGGGAUGAGGAAGGACAGUACCCUCAGAAUAAGUCUCGGCCAACUACGUG